rnacentral:rRNA from 1 species
GACGAACGCUGGCGGCGUGCUUAACACAUGCAAGUCACGGGGGCCCGCAAGGGUAACCGGCGAACGGGUGCGUAACACGUGAACAACCUGCCCUCGUGUGGGGGAUAGCCAUGCUAACGCGUGGGUAAUACCGCAUACGUUCUUUUCGGGGAGUCCCGAGGGGAAGAAAGCUCCGGCGCACGGGGAGGGGUUCGCGGCCUAUCAGCUAGUUGGGGGGUAAGU